AAAUGUGGCUGGAAAAUCAUGCUUGCUUCUCAAGAUUGAGAAUUUAAAAUAUAACUGAAGAUGAAAAAUCAAAGUUGUGGUUGAGGAAGAAACACGGUGCUGUCUCAGAAAUUUUAAUAAAGAAGCUGUCAAAUUUUCGACACAGUGAUAAUAAAUGAAUGCUGAUAACUUAAAAGCUAAUGGGCUUAUAUAUUAUUCGAGCCCAACCAAAUAAAUAUGGCAAAAGAAAUUAAUCUAUAAAGAAAUAAAAGCCCAAUAACAAAGAAUUCAUGCAUGUACUUGUUCAUAGCCCAAUCUUUGAGCCUAAAACUUUUAUAAAGUAAUAAUCUAAAAU
rnacentral:lncRNA from 1 species